rnacentral:lncRNA from 1 species
UUAUAGGUUCGAACCUAAGUCGGUAGCACAGAAAUAACUUUCUGAACUAAUCGAUGUAACCAUCUAGCAAUAGGAUCUGACGUUCGGAUAGGUCGAAAGAUUGUAAAGCAACAUUCAUUAACCUAUUGGCAUAUAAUUAUCGUAUAAUUCAUUCCGUCGACCCUAAUGCUCAAGAUGACCUGAAGUUUCAUUGCUAAACCC